AAGACUAUACUUGCAGGGAUCAUUUCUGCAGUUUGUUACUAGAGAAGUUUCUUUGAACCUGUAGGGCACUGGAAACCACGAGGGGUUGCAGCAUUCUCUCCUGAAUUGGAAGCUAGUUUUUGGUGUUGCUUUGGCACAACUGCCACUUGCCAUUGAUGGUAACUCAUCAUUUCUCUGGGAAGAGGGAGAGGAUGCAGUCAGAGUGGU
ensembl:snoRNA U3 Small nucleolar RNA U3